rnacentral:rRNA from 1 species
AGAGUUUGAUCAUGGCUCAGAUUGAACGCUGGCGGCAGGCCUAACACAUGCAAGUCGAACGGUAACAGGAAGCAGCUUGNGCUGCUUUGCUGACGAGUGGCGGACGGGUGAGUAAUGUCUGGGAAACUGCCUGAUGGAGGGGGAUAACUACUGGAAACGGUGGCUAAUACCGCAUAACGUCGCAAGACCAAAGAGGGGGACCUUCGGGCCUCUUGCCAUCAGAUGUGCCCAGAUGGGAUUAGCUUGUUGGUGAGGUAACGGCUCACCAAGGCGACGAUCCCUAGCUGGUCUGAGAGGAUGACCAGCCACACUGGAACUGAGACACGGUCCAGACUCCUACGGGAGGCAGCAGUGGGGAAUAUUGCACAAUGGGCGCAAGCCUGAUGCAGCCAUGCCGCGUGUAUGAAGAAGGCCUUCGGGUUGUAAAGUACUUUCAGCGGGGAGGAAGGUGUUGUGGUUAAUAACCGCAGCAAUUGACGUUACCCGCAGAAGAAGCACCGGCUAACUCCGUGCCAGCAGCCGCGGUAAUACGGAGGGUGCAAGCGUUAAUCGGAAUUACUGGGCGUAAAGCGCACGCAGGCGGUCUGUCAAGUCGGAUGUGAAAUCCCCGGGCUCAACCUGGGAACUGCAUUCGAAACUGGCAGGCUUGAGUCUUGUAGAGGGGGGUAGAAUUCCAGGUGUAGCGGUGAAAUGCGUAGAGAUCUGGAGGAAUACCGGUGGCGAAGGCGGCCCCCUGGACAAAGACUGACGCUCAGGUGCGAAAGCGUGGGGAGCAAACAGGAUUAGAUACCCUGGUAGUCCACGCCGUAAACGAUGUCUACUUGGAGGUUGUGCCCUUGAGGCGUGGCUUCCGGAGCUAACGCGUUAAGUAGACCGCCUGGGGAGUACGGCCGCAAGGUUAAAACUCAAAUGAAUUGACGGGGGCCCGCACAAGCGGUGGAGCAUGUGGUUUAAUUCGAUGCAACGCGAAGAACCUUACCUGGUCUUGACAUCCACAGAACUUUCCAGAGAUGGAUUGGUGCCUUCGGGAACUGUGAGACAGGUGCUGCAUGGCUGUCGUCAGCUCGUGUUGUGAAAUGUUGGGUUAAGUCCCGCAACGAGCGCAACCCUUAUCCUUUGUUGCCAGCGGUCCGGCCGGGAACUCAAAGGAGACUGCCAGUGAUAAACUGGAGGAAGGUGGGGAUGACGUCAAGUCAUCAUGGCCCUUACGACCAGGGCUACACACGUGCUACAAUGGCGCAUACAAAGAGAAGCGACCUCGCGAGAGCAAGCGGACCUCAUAAAGUGCGUCGUAGUCCGGAUUGGAGUCUGCAACUCGACUCCAUGAAGUCGGAAUCGCUAGUAAUCGUGGAUCAGAAUGCCACGGUGAAUACGUUCCCGGGCCUUGUACACACCGCCCGUCACACCAUGGGAGUGGGUUGCAAAAGAAGUAGGUAGCUUAACCUUCGGGGGGGCGCUUACCACUUUGUGAUUCAUGACUGGGGUGAAGUCGUAACAAGGUAACCGUAGGGGAACCUGCGGUUG